CUGGAACACUUCAUCCGUUGUGUCGAACUUUCCCAUAUCCCGAACUUGUAAGAACUUGUCCGCGUAAACUGCGGUGACAACUGGUCAUCCAGGCAGUUGAUAUGUAGUGUCCUUUCUGCUUGGGACCAUUUUCCGCCCGUGGAGGUAUGUCCACAGCGCGCUCCCCAGCCCCGUGUGCUGGCAUCUGAUUCUAUUACGCAAUCUG